rnacentral:rRNA from 1 species
AGUGAACGUUGGCGGUAGGCCUAACACAUGCAAGUCGAACGGCAGCACAGUAAGAGCUUGCUCUUACGGGUGGCGAGUGGCGGACGGGUGAGGAGUACAUCGGAAUCUACUUUUUCGUGGGGGAUAACGUAGGGAAACUUACGCUAAUACCGCAUACGACCUACGGGUGAAAGCAGGGGAUCUUCGGACCUUGCGCGAUUGAAUGAGCCGAUGUCGGAUUAGCUAGUUGGCGGGGUAAAGGCCCACCAAGGCGACGAUCCGUAGCUGGUCUGAGAGGAUGAUCAGCCACACUGGAACUGAGACACGGUCCAGACUCCUACGGGAGGCAGCAGUGGGGAAUAUUGGACAAUGGGCGCAAGCCUGAUCCAGCCAUACCGCGUGGGUGAAGAAGGCCUUCGGGUUGUAAAGCCCUUUUGUUGGGAAAGAAAAGCAGCAGGUUAAUACCCCGCUGUUCUGACGGUACCCAAAGAAUAAGCACCGGCUAACUUCGU